GAUGCGAUGACUACCAAUUCUUUUGAAGCUAUCCUGUCAUGAUCGCGACUAGUACACUUCGCGAAAUAAGGUAAUUAGCUGGUAUACUUUAUGUUCAAUAGAAUAGAAUAGAAUAGAAUAGAAUAGAUAGAUAGAAUAGAAUAGAAUAGAAUAGAAUAGAAUAGAAUAGAAUAGAAUAGAAUAGAAUAGAUAGAAUAGAAUAGAAUAGAAUAGAAUAGAAUAGAAUAGAAUAGAAUAGAAU
rnacentral:lncRNA from 1 species